rnacentral:RNase_P_RNA from 1 species
UCAGACGGACGGAUGGCCGCUCUUCCCGUUUCGGGAAGGGAGGAAAGUCCGGGCUCCACGGAAACAUGGCGCCGGGUAACGCCCGGCGGGGGUGACCCCAGGGAAAGUGCCACAGAAAGCAGACCGCCACCGGCCUUAGCGCCGGCGGCAAGGGUGAAAGGGUGCGGCAAGAGCGCACCGCGGAUGCGGCAACGCAGACGGCAUGGCAAACCCCGCCAGGAGCAAGAUCGAGUAGGGGCGGCACGUGGUUCCACGAGGUCCGUUUCCGGACCCCGCCGCCCGGGUUGAUCGCGCGAGGCGCGCGGUGACGCGCGUCCCAGAUGAAUGGCCAUCGGCCGCCUUCGGCACCUUGACGGGGGCGGGCCACAGAACCCGGCUUACAGUCCGCCUGGUUCC